AGUCGUGGGGCAGCACGGGGUAGCAAUACUCUGAUGGCGACCGGCAAACGGGUGAGGAACAUGUACGCAACCUUCCUUUAACUGGAGAAUAGCCCCUCGAAAGAGGGAUUAAUACUCCGUAACAUAUUUUUAAGACAUCUUAUUAAUAUUAUAGCUCCGGCGGUUAAAGAUGGGCGUGCACCUGAUUAGAUAGUUGGCGGGGUAACGGCCCACCAAGUCUGCGAUCAGUAACUGGUGUGAGAGCACGACCAGUCACACGGGCACUGAGACACGGGUCCGACUCCUACGGGAGGCAGCAGUAAGGAAUAUUGGUCAAUGGACGCAAGUCUGAACCAGCCAUGCCGCGUGGAGGAUUAAGGCCCUCUGGGUUGUAAACUCCUUUUAUCUGGGAAGAAAUGUACUUUUUCUUGAGUACUUGACGGUACCAGAGGAAUAAGCACCGGCUAACUCCGUGCCAGCAGCCGCGGUAAUACGGAGGGUGCAAGCGUUAUCCGGAUUCACUGGGUUUAAAGGGUGCGUAGGUGGGCAGGUAAGUCAGUGGUGAAAUCUCCGGGCUUAACCCGGAAACUGCCGUUGAUACUAUUUGUCUUGAAUAUUGUGGAGGUAAGCGGAAUAUGUCAUGUAGCGGUGAAAUGCUUAGAUAUGACAUAGAACACCAAUUGCGAAGGCAGCUUACUACACAAUGAUUGACACUGAGGCACGGAAGCGUGGGGAUCAAACAGGAUUAGAUACCCUGGUAGUCCACGCCCUAAACGAUGAUUACUCGACAUACGCGAU
rnacentral:rRNA from 1 species